CCUACGGGAGGCAGCAGUGGGGGAUAUUGCACAAUGGGGGAACCCUGAUGCAGCGACGCCGCGUGAGUGAAGAAGUAUUUCGGUAUGUAAAGCUCUAUCAGCAGGGAAGAAAGAGACGGUACCUGAGUAAGAAGCCCCGGCUAACUACGUGCCAGCAGCCGCGGUAAU
rnacentral:rRNA from 1 species